rnacentral:rRNA from 1 species
ACUCAAAUGAAUUGACGGGGAGCCGCACAAGCAGAGGAGCGUGCGGUUUAAUUCGAUGGUAAGCGAAGAACCUUACCGAGGCUUGACAUCUCUGGAAGGCCCUAGAAAUAGGGCUGUGCCUUCGGGAACCAGAUGACAGGUGUUGCAUGGCCGUCGUCAGCUCGUGCCGUGAGGUGUUCGGUUAAGUCCGGUAACGAGCGCAACCCUUGUGAUUUGUUGAAUUUUUCAAAUCAGACUGUCCUGGAAACAGGAAGGAAGGUGGGGAUGACGUCAGGUCAGCAUGGCCCUUAUGCCUCGGGCUACACGCGCGCUACAAUGGCCGGUACAACGGGUUUGCCAAGUCGCAAGGCGGAGCUAAUCCCAUCAAAACCGGUCUCAGUUCGGAUUGCAGGCUGCAACUCGCCUGCAUGAAGCUGGAUUUGCUAGUAACCGUGGGUCAGCACACCACGGUGAAUACGUUCUCGGCUCUUGUACACACCGCCCGU